CCUACGGGUGGCAGCAGUCGGGAAUAUUGCGCAAUGGAGGAAACUCUGACGCAGUGACGCCGCGUAUAGGAAGAAGGUCUUCGGAUUGUAAACUAUUGUCGUUAGGGGAGUAAAAGGACAGUACCUAAGGAGGAAGCUCCGGCUAACUACGUGCCAGCAGCCGCGGUAAUACGUAGGGAGCAAGCGUUAUCCGGAUUUAUUGGGUGUAAAGGGUGGGUAGACGGGAAUUUAAGUGAGUUGUGAAAUCCCUCGGCUCAACUGAGGAACUGCAACUAAAACUGGAAUUCUUGAGUGCUGGAGAGGAGAGCGGAAUUCCUAGUGGAGCGGUGAAAUGCGUAGAUAUUAGGAGGAACACCAGUGGCGAAGGCAGCUCACUGGACUGCAACUGACACUGAGGCUCGAAAGUGUGGGUAUCAAACAGGAUUAGAUACCCCUGUAGUC
rnacentral:rRNA from 1 species